AAUGAACGCUGGCGGCAGGCCUAACACAUGCAAGUCGAACGGAUCCUUCGGGAUUAGUGGCGGACGGGUGAGUAACGCGUGGGAACAUACCCAAAGGUACGGAAUAGCCUCGGGAAACUGGGAGUAAUACCGUAUGUGCUCGUAAGAGGAAAGAUUUAUCGCCUUUGGAUUGGCCCGCGUUGGAUUAGGUAGUUGGUGGGGUAAUGGCCUACCAAGCCGACGAUCCAUAGCUGGUUUGAGAGGAUGAUCAGCCACACUGGGACUGAGACACGGCCCAGACUCCUACGGGAGGCAGCAGUGGGGAAUCUUAGACAAUGGGGAAAACCCUGAUCUAGCCAUGCCGCGUGAUCGAUGAAGGCCUUAGGGUUGUAAAGAUCUUGCAGGUGGGAAGAUAAUGACUGUACCACCAGAAGAAGCCCCGGCUAACUCCGUGCCAGCCGCCGCGGUAA
rnacentral:rRNA from 1 species